rnacentral:tRNA from 1 species
GCCCGGAUGGUGAAAUCGGUAGACACAGGAGACUUAAAAUCUCCUUCCCUCCACGGGAGUGCGGGUUCGACCCCCGCUCCGGGCA